AGUGAACGCUGGCGGCAGGCCUAAUACAUGCAAGUCGAACGGCAGCACAGCAGAGCUUGCUCUGUGGGUGGCGAGUGGCGGACGGGUGAGGAAUACAUGGGAAUCUGCCCAGUCGUGGGGGAUAACGUAUGGAAACGUACGCUAAUACCGCAUGCGCCCUACGGGGGAAAGCCGGGGACCGAAAGGCCUGGCGCGAUUGGAUGAGCCCAUGUUCGAUUAGCUAGUUGGCGGGGUAAAGGCCCACCAAGGCGACGAUCGAUAGCUGGUCUGAGAGGAUGAUCAGCCACACUGGAACUGAGACACGGUCCAGACUCCUACGGGAGGCAGCAGUAGGGAAUAUUGGACAAUGGGGGCAACCCUGAUCCAGCCAUGCCGCGUGAGUGAAGGAGGCCCUCGGGUUGUAAAGCUCUUUCGGCGGGGACGAUGAUGACGGUACCCGCAGAAGAAGCCCCGGCUAACUUCGUGCCAGCAGCCGCGGUAAGGU
rnacentral:rRNA from 1 species